CAUUUAAGGACUUUUCAGGAGAUAUGUGCA
rnacentral:piRNA from 1 species